UAAUCUGCGAUAAGCGUCGGUAAGGUGAUAUGAACCGUUAUAACCGGCGAUUUCCGAAUGGGGAAACCCAGUGUGAUUCGUCACACUAUCAUUAACUGAAUCCAUAGGUUAAUGAGGCGAACCGGGGGAACUGAAACAUCUAAGUACCCCGAGGAAAAGAAAUCAACCGAGAUUCCCCCAGUAGCGGCGAGCGAACGGGGAGCAGCCCAGAGCCUGAAUCAGUGUGUGUGUUAGUGGAAGCGUCUGGAAAGGCGCGCGAUACAGGGUGACAGCCCCGUACACAAAAAUGCACAUACUGUGAGCUCGAUGAGUAGGGCGGGACACGUGGUAUCCUGUCUGAAUAUGGGGGGACCAUCCUCCAAGGCUAAAUACUCCUGACUGACCGAUAGUGAACCAGUACCGUGAGGGAAAGGCGAAAAGAACCCCGGCGAGGGGAGUGAAAAAGAACCUGAAACCGUGUACGUACAAGCAGUGGGAGCACAGAGCAAUCUGUGUGACUGCGUACCUUUUGUAUAAUGGGUCAGCGACUUAUAUUCUGUAGCAAGGUUAACCGAAUAGGGGAGCCGAAGGGAAACCGAGUCUUAACUGGGCGUUAAGUUGCAGGGUAUAGACCCGAAACCCGGUGAUCUAGCCAUGGGCAGGUUGAAGGUUGGGUAACACUAACUGGAGGACCGAACCGACUAAUGUUGAAAAAUUAGCGGAUGACUUGUGGCUGGGGGUGAAAGGCCAAUCAAACCGGGAGAUAGCUGGUUCUCCCCGAAAGCUAUUUAGGUAGCGCCUCGUGAAUUCAUCUCCGGGGGUAGAGCACUGUUUCGGCAAGGGGGUCAUCCCGACUUACCAACCCGAUGCAAACUGCGAAUACCGGAGAAUGUUAUCACGGGAGACACACGGCGGGUGCUAACGUCCGUCGUGAAGAGGGAAACAACCCAGACCGCCAGCUAAGGUCCCAAAGUCAUGGUUAAGUGGGAAACGAUGUGGGAAGGCCCAGACAGCCAGGAUGUUGGCUUAGAAGCAGCCAUCAUUUAAAGAAAGCGUAAUAGCUCACUGGUCGAGUCGGCCUGCGCGGAAGAUGUAACGGGGCUAAACCAUGCACCGAAGCUGCGGCAGCGACGCUUAUGCGUUGUUGGGUAGGGGAGCGUUCUGUAAGCCUGCGAAGGUGUGCUGUGAGGCAUGCUGGAGGUAUCAGAAGUGCGAAUGCUGACAUAAGUAACGAUAAAGCGGGUGAAAAGCCCGCUCGCCGGAAGACCAAGGGUUCCUGUCCAACGUUAAUCGGGGCAGGGUGAGUCGACCCCUAAGGCGAGGCCGAAAGGCGUAGUCGAUGGGAAACAGGUUAAUAUUCCUGUACUUGGUGUUACUGCGAAGGGGGGACGGAGAAGGCUAUGUUGGCCGGGCGACGGUUGUCCCGGUUUAAGCGUGUAGGCUGGUUUUCCAGGCAAAUCCGGAAAAUCAAGGCUGAGGCGUGAUGACGAGGCACUACGGUGCUGAAGCAACAAAUGCCCUGCUUCCAGGAAAAGCCUCUAAGCAUCAGGUAACAUCAAAUCGUACCCCAAACCGACACAGGUGGUCAGGUAGAGAAUACCAAGGCGCUUGAGAGAACUCGGGUGAAGGAACUAGGCAAAAUGGUGCCGUAACUUCGGGAGAAGGCACGCUGAUAUGUAGGUGAAGUCCCUCGCGGAUGGAGCUGAAAUCAGUCGAAGAUACCAGCUGGCUGCAACUGUUUAUUAAAAACACAGCACUGUGCAAACACGAAAGUGGACGUAUACGGUGUGACGCCUGCCCGGUGCCGGAAGGUUAAUUGAUGGGGUCAGCGCAAGCGAAGCUCUUGAUCGAAGCCCCGGUAAACGGCGGCCGUAACUAUAACGGUCCUAAGGUAGCGAAAUUCCUUGUCGGGUAAGUUCCGACCUGCACGAAUGGCGUAAUGAUGGCCAGGCUGUCUCCACCCGAGACUCAGUGAAAUUGAACUCGCUGUGAAGAUGCAGUGUACCCGCGGCAAGACGGAAAGACCCCGUGAACCUUUACUAUAGCUUGACACUGAACAUUGAGCCUUGAUGUGUAGGAUAGGUGGGAGGCUUUGAAGUGUGGACGCCAGUCUGCAUGGAGCCGACCUUGAAAUACCACCCUUUAAUGUUUGAUGUUCUAACGUGGACCCGUAAUCCGGGUUGCGGACAGUGUCUGGUGGGUAGUUUGACUGGGGCGGUCUCCUCCUAAAGAGUAACGGAGGAGCACGAAGGUUGGCUAAUCCUGGUCGGACAUCAGGAGGUUAGUGCAAUGGCAUAAGCCAGCUUGACUGCGAGCGUGACGGCGCGAGCAGGUGCGAAAGCAGGUCAUAGUGAUCCGGUGGUUCUGAAUGGAAGGGCCAUCGCUCAACGGAUAAAAGGUACUCCGGGGAUAACAGGCUGAUACCGCCCAAGAGUUCAUAUCGACGGCGGUGUUUGGCACCUCGAUGUCGGCUCAUCACAUCCUGGGGCUGAAGUAGGUCCCAAGGGUAUGGCUGUUCGCCAUUUAAAGUGGUACGCGAGCUGGGUUUAGAACGUCGUGAGACAGUUCGGUCCCUAUCUGCCGUGGGCGCUGGAGAAUUGAGGGGGGCUGCUCCUAGUACGAGAGGACCGGAGUGGACGCAUCACUGGUGUUCGGGUUGUCAUGCCAAUGGCACUGCCCGGUAGCUAAAUGCGGAAGAGAUAAGUGCUGAAAGCAUCUAAGCACGAAACUUGCCCCGAGAUGAGUUCUCCCUGACUCCUUGAGAGUCCUGAAGGAACGUUGAAGACGACGACGUUGAUAGGCCGGGUGUGUAAGCGCAGCGAUGCGUUGAGCUAACCGGUACUAAUGAACCGUGAGGCUUAACCUUACAACGCCGAAGCUGUU
rnacentral:rRNA from 1 species